rnacentral:rRNA from 1 species
GUAGUCCGCACAGUAAACGAUGGAUGCCCGCUGUUGGUACCUGGUAUCAGCGGCUAAGCGAAAGCAUUAAGCAUCCCACCUGGGGAGUACGCCGGCAACGGUGAAACUCAAAGGAAUUGACGGGGGCCCGCACAAGCGGAGGAACAUGUGGUUUAAUUCGAUGAUACGCGAGGAACCUUACCCGGGCUUGAAUUGCAGAGGAAGGAUUUAGAGAUAAUGACGCCCUUCGGGGUCUCUGUGAAGGUGCUGCAUGGUUGUCGUCAGCUCGUGCCGUGAGGUGUCGGCUUAAGUGCCAUAACGAGCGCAACCCCUCUCUUCAGUUGCCAUCAGGUCAUGCUGGGCACUCUGGAGACACUGCCACCGUAAGGUGUGA